GAGGGUAUAGCUCAGUGGUAGAUUGCAUGCUUAGCAUGCACGAGGUCCUGGGUUCAAUCCCCAGUGCCUCCA
rnacentral:tRNA from 1 species